CUCAUACGAGCGAUCAACGAAGAGGGACCGAUCUCAGAGAUCUAUGGAAUCACUUCUGAUAUUUUAAAUCUUGUGCUGGCUUUUGAUUUUGUGUCCUUUGUUUGGACUAAGCGUGCCGACAACGCCCUCGCUGAUGUUCUAGCAAAGUAGGCUCUGUUGAACGCAUCUUUUGUAGCUCCUCAUCUGAACCUUAUAGCUUAAGUCUCUUAAUGAAAGUUUGUGUUACAAAAAAAAAAGGUAGGAUUUGAGUCAAAAUAGAUUGUUAAAACUAAUGCAUAUUCAGAUUUCAUAUCAAAAUUUUAAAGAUAGCAAAACUAGUAUAUAAGAAUUUUAAGUCAACUCUUUUUUUUUUCAAAGAAAUUAAAGUCUACUCAUUUAUUGUCAAUUAGUUUUGUGUUGAAAGUUGAUCUAAUAUUUAACAUAAUAUCAACAUUAAUAACAUAAAGAAUAUGAAUUAAUCUAGCUAUCCAUCAAUUGUUUUUAAAUUGGAAGUUUAUAAGAGCAUCUUUAACGCGGUUUGUUAGCAUGGGUUUCUAGUGAAUUUAGGAUUAAAAAAAGGAAAAUUAAGCAUUAACUCUUCAUAUGUAGCUUAAUUAGGAAGCACAAGAAACAUAUCCUCUGAGACACGUGUCUCCCUUUCAAACCUCUUUCUCUCUCCAAAGCAAGCCGAUUCGUCUCUUUCCCUCUACCUAGACGACUCCGCAACUCUCUCUGUUGGACUUCCCUCUCUGAUAAUUUUGAACUCUGGAGUUGCAGUGAAAUGGCGGUGAUUAUAUCGACGAAUUGCUUCGUGAACGCCUCGUUCUUCGAUGAGAGGUGGAAUUCUCACCGGAGACUGGUGUUUCCUCAAGCUUGGUUUAACGGCAGGCGACUCUAUCCUCUGAAAUCGAAGAAAAAUGUAAUCUUCUGUUUGAAUUUGAACGCAAAGGAGGUUAGUGAAUUCAAACCCAGUUUCGAUCAGUACCUGCAAAUCAUGGAAUCAGUUAAAACAGCUCAGAAGAAGAAGAAAGUCGACGGCUUGGUUAUAGAUAAAGGUGAGGAUGAUGGUGAAAAUGGUGAUAGAAGAGUAAAAUUGGGAAGAGAUGUUGAAGAUGUGAAGACAAAAGAUGAAGGUUUCAGGAGGAGGCAGGAGAUGGUAAGCGGUGAUGAUGAGAGAGGUUUCAAGGGUGAUGAAGAAAGUAGAAUUCAUAGAGAUGUGAAGUGGAGUAAGAGUGGUGAAUCUUCUUCAGUGACUGCCCCAGAAGAUGAGAGCUUCAACAGAAGAAAGUACGUGAAGCAGGAGAUUGUUAAGUAUCAGUGUUCCCCUGAUGCAUCUAGAGGGACCGAGAGAGGUUUCAAAGCUGAUGCUGUUGGAGAAAGGAGGUUUCAGAGAACAGCCAAAGAUGUAAAAUGGAGUAAGAGUGGUGGAUCUUCCUCAGUGACUGUGCCAGAAGAUGAGAGUUUCAAGAGAAGGUACGUGAAGCAGGAGUUGGUUACUUACCAGUGUUCCCUGAUGCAUCUAGAGGGUUUGAGAGAGGAUCCAAAGCUGAUGCUUUAGAAGAUAGGCGGUCUGACAUGGAAAGUCCUGCCUUUAGGUUUUCCGAUGAGUCCAGUUGGAAGAUGGAAAUAAUAUAGAAAGCAGCUCGGAUUUGGAAUCAAGAAUGUUGCCAGACACGUACACGUUCAACACAAUGCUAGAAGCUUGCGCUGAACAUAAAAAGUGGGAUGAUUUUGGCUAUGCGUAUAGGGAGAUGUUGCAUCACGGAUACCAUUUCAAUGCCAAACGCCAUCUCAAAAUGGUACUUGAAGCUAGCAGAGCAGGGCAUGAAGAAGUGAUGGAAGCGACGUGGGAACAUCUGAGACGGAGUAAUAGGAUUCCGCCUUCGCCUCUAAUCAAAGAAAGAUUCUGCAGGAAGUUGGAGACAGGGGAUCAUGUAACGGCCAUAUCAUCUCUUGCUGUUCUUAAUGGCAAGAUAGAGGAGACUGAGCUACGGGCAUGGUCCACAGACGCAUGAUAGUCUUUUACUAUGUUUUAAGUUUAAGUUUAAUAAGAAUAAUUAAAAAAAUAUAUGUUUAAUUAAAAAAAAAAAAUUUAAGAAACCUUAAUUAAGAGACUUGCAUUGGACCACGAAAAUUAACGAAUCUCUUAAUCCGGUCUCUUAAUCCAGUUUUACAAUUAAAAAGUAUUAAAUAAAAAUUAAGAGACCCAUUUAAGGUAUUUGAGUUAAUGGUGCUCUAAAGCUACAAUAGCUUACACGAUUUACUUUAGAAUAUCAUUAAAUCCAUAAGACCAACAAAAAAAAGUCCACAGGACAUGAAAAAUGCAACAUUUUUUGCAACACUAGUUUUUGAUACUAUUUUUUCAUAAAAUUUAAGAUCUUUUUUUUUUUUUUGCCUUCGUCAUACUCUUGACAUCAUUUCCGACUCCGGCGUAGAGACGUUAAUAUGGGCUUGAAGCCCGCGGGCCUAACGGACUUUAGUAUAAACGGGCAGACCCGUGACCCAUUUAUUAUAAUAUAAAAAUAAACGGGUUUAUACGGGUCUGUCCGUUUAGGCCCGUCUCGUUAACGGGUAUACCCACUAAAUAAACGGGUACCUGUUUAAGUCCGUUUACGAGGUUUUUAAAAAAAAAAUUAUAUUUAAAGAUUAUUGUUUCAAAAAAAUAUUUUUUUUAUAAUUUUUGUUUUGAAACAAAAUAGUUAUAUUAUAUAUAGUUUGUGUUAGAAAAAAAACACAAACUAUAUUUUUUUUCUAGAAAAAAGUUUAGGUUAUAAUUGUGUUAAAAACCUACUAAAAUUUGUUGAUGUUUUUUAUGAUAUUAUGAACUGAUUAAUAUUUAAUAAAAGUAAAGUAUUGUUUUUCAAAUUUUGCUUUAAUUGGAAUUUCUAUUUAUUAUAAUUUUUAAAAUCAAAUAAAAACUAUUAAAAAUUAUAUAAAGAUAUGACAAAAGAUUAUUGACAAAAAUAGAAUUCACAAAAAAAAAAAUUAAACGGACUAAACGGGUACUAUCAAUAUAAAUGGGCUUCACAUUAAACGGGUUCAUACGGAUAACGGGUCUAAACGGACCUAAACGGGCAGGUCUAAACGGGCCGGAUAGCCCAUAUUAACAUCCCUACUCCGACUCAUGGAGCCGCUGACACUUACUAUAGGAUCUAGGUUUGUGCACUGCAUGCAAACAAAUGGUAAAAAGGACGCAUGUGCCACAUGGCUGAAUUGUUGUGAGUUUCUAAUCACGGGAGGACGAUGUAUGUGUCAUACCAAACCAUUAUAGUAACUUGUCAUCAUUCUCUGUUUUCACUUUUUUUGCCAGAGGAAGAUUACUCCGCUUAACCUUUUUGUAUUAACAAACCUUCUCAUUUUUAAUGAUAUUCACAUACUUGCAAAAAAAACGAUGUAUGUGUCAUUAACCAAGAUAAAGUGCCAUCCCAAAUUCCUUUUUGUAUUAACUCCAGCAGCAUCUCAUUUUAUUUAAAUCUAUAAAUGUUUUCGUCCUAAGUUCUAACGCAGAAAAAACAAAAAAAACAAUUGAUGGGGAACAAGUUGUUGCUGCUGCCUCUUCUUCCUCUUGUGCAUGCUUAUUCAGGAGAAUCUACAGUCAGAUAUCUUCCAGGUUACCAAGGCCCUCUUCCUUUCGAGCUUGAAACCGGGUUCUGUCCCUCUUCACCAACUCAUCUCCCAUACAUGUCUUUUAAAUAAUGAAUCUGUGUUGUGAUUUUCUUUUAAGUUAAGUAUCAUUCAGGUACAUUGGUGUUGGUGAGGCAGAGGAAAGCCAGUUUUUCUACUACUUCAUCAAAUCUGAGAGAACCCCAGCAGAAGACCCUCUUCUUAUCUGGUUAACCGGAGGACCUGGCUGCUCUUCUAUCUCUGCCUUUCUUCUUGAGAAUGGACCUCUGGCUUUCAAUACUGAGUCUGACAGUGGAAACAUCCCAUCAUUGGUCUCUACUACAUAUUCAUGGUCUAAGGUGGCUAAUAUAAUCUAUUUGGAUCAGCCUGUUGGCACUGGCUUCUCUUACUCAAGAAACCCACUUGCUAAUAUACCAAGUGACACAAGAUCAGCUAAGCUGGUCCCUGAGUUUGUUCAUAAAGUAAAGGAAGAAAAAAACUCAAACUGUUUCAAGUGUUUUUUUAAUGUCUUUGUGCAUAGACCUUUUUGUGGUUUUGUUAUUGUUGUUGGCUGAUUCUUGUGCAGUGGCUAGCCAAGCAUCCUGAGUA